UCCAGUCCCCGCCUCCGGCGACCCCUCCUGAGGAAGAAAAAGAGCACGGCCCGCCCCGCCCGGUCCCCUUCCACCUCCUACCGGAGGGCCGGGCCCGGAAUCCGGCAGACUGCCCGGGACCGUGAUAAGGAAACUGAGACUUAGGGAAAAAACCUGUCAAAUAUAAGAAAGAAGAGAAAGGACAUGGAGAAGUAACCAGCAGCCUUUGCCUGUCACGUCUGGAUAUGGAAUUUGUAGUCCAUCUUUCUCAAAAUAGCUUAUCACUAUCACCAUGGAGAUGUCUGAAGUUACCCUACAUCUUUCUUCCUUCCAUUGCCUAACUCAAGGUCACAAAGACCAAUACUGCGGUGUAUGAUUACUGUGACUCCAAAUGGGCCUCCCCUGUGGCGCAAUGGUUGAGCACUGG